CUCCGGGAGCGGGCGGCGGCGGGGGCGGGGCGGGGGGCGGGGCGGGGCGGGGCGCGGCGUCUUCGCGCGCCCCGCGCCCUAACCUGGGAUUCCCCCGCGGGUGGGCGGCGCCUGCCGACGCGCUGGUGGUCGCCCCGCCUGCGUGCGGCCAUCCCUCGGGCAGUGGGAGCCCGCCUGCGUCUUCGGGUCCCCGCAGCCCCCCGCGCGGGCCCGACUGGCGCGGCCGCCAGACUGUCCACCCGACCGCGGGCCCCGGCGAGCGGACCCCGCGCUCGCGGCCAGUUUGCCUCCCCCAAAAUGAGAAGAUUGGGGAGGCACUUCAAGGGCCGGAAGCCUGAAUCUGCCUGUGCCCCUGGCGGUAGGACGAGCACCUGGCCGGCGGGCCUGUCUCCGCGGCUACUUCCGGAGCUACUCUCCCCGAGAUGGCAGAAACUAGACCCGGGUCCCACCGCGCUCACUUCACAGGCUCCCUCUUGGCGCCCAAAACCAAGCAGAAGCCACAGUCUAUAGAGAUCCAGUAACUUGUGACACGAGAGAGGCUGAAACUCCAUAAAGGCAAAGCCCUUUUCUACCUGUGCACUGCUGUGUGCUAAGCAGAGUGCCUGCACAGAAGAGGCAUUGACACAUUAGUUAAAUGAUGAAUAACCAGAGGGGAUUCCAGAUGAGAAGCAGAGAUUCUACAUGAAGCAGUGAUGGGAAGGAUAAAGCCCCACUAUCUUUUCUCAGCUCCUCCCCAACUGGCUACAGAUUGGAAAUCUUAUUACCCUCAAAGACAGCUCCCCGUUUCAUUGUCUCCUAUCCUCCUCAUUUCUCAGAGACAGAUGCUAUGAGAUCAUUGCAGUCUUUUGGAGAUCCAGGUCCCCAAUCCCAUAAUAUAAGGCUCUAUUCAGGAGAGGAGAGAUAUGAAUACUUCCAAGGAAGUACUCUUGGGCACAUCAUUUUAGUUAAUUAUCAUCAUCUCAUCAAACCAUCACCUUACUGAAUACUCCCAAAGAUAAAUCUUUGUGUUCUUAUUAACCAUUUCCCUAAAAUAGUAGGAGACCAAGGAUAAUCUGUCCCUGACUUCUUCCUUGGAGAUUCGUGUUUCCACAAGUCACAGCCAAUCAUAGUUUUAAAUGGUCAAAAACAGAAACAACGACUUCUCUGUGUUAAGAAUCACUCAAUUGCAGGUAAUCCAUACCUGAUUCAAACAACUCUAGGAAAUCUUUUAAAUUUAUUGUUACAUAACUGCGAAGUUUAGGAUUUGCCAGGUGUACGUAUGUCUGGAGCUAGGUUUUCAAAAUAUAUCUCAGUCUCUCUAUCUUGCAGUUUUCCUGAUGGCUGUAUUCUUUGCCAAAUCUCUCCAUUGGUAAAAGCAGUGGUUUUUGAAGUGCGGCAAAGAAGGAAACCCCUUCCAGCAUCCAUUUCAAUCCUACAAAAGGACCCCAGUAGGCUCUGCUUGGGUCGCAUGCCCAAGCUUACAUACCUCUCCCUGAUUCCUGCAGAGUGGUGUUCUCUUGUGGGCUAGCCUGGGUCACAUACCCACCUCUGUGGGGCAGGGGGACAGUGCAGAGAGGAGGUUGAUUGGCAGUUCCGCUAGUAUCACAGAAGUAGAGGAAGAGGUAGUCCCCACAGGGAAGGAAUGUGAGGAGACAAGAAAGAAACUGGUGUCCACUCUAUUUCCACUCCCCUGCUCGUUCAGAUGUCCCCCAGCCCAUCCUAGAGGCAUCUGGACCACGUGUUUUUCGUGUGUUACCACCAUCCAGCUGCAGCGACCACUCCAGGCACAUCUGCCCUGUCUCUGAGGCACAUAUGCCCUUGAAAUAGUGAUUUCAUUUCCUUUGGAUAAAUACCCAGAAGUGAAAUUACUGGAUCCUAUUUUAGCUCUAUUUUUGAUUUCUUGAUGAAUCUCCAUACCGUUUUCCUUAGUGGCUAUACCAAUUUACAAUCCCACCAACAGUGCACAAGUUUCUUCUCUUUGAUAAUAGCCAUUCUGUGUCAUUGCUUGCUCUUCUCUUGUAGACAGCAUAUAAUUGGACUUUUUAAAAUUCAUUCUCCCAAUUUCUACUUCUUAAUUGGAAUGUUUAAUCCAUUUACAUUUAACAUAAUUACUAGUAGGUUAGGGCUUUUGUAUGUCAUUUAAAAUUUUCUUUAUGUCAUGUCUUUUUCCCUUUAUUUCUUCAUUACUGCCUUCUUUUGUGUUAGAUAAAAUUUCCUAGCAUACCAUUUAAAUUAUCUAUUGUUUCUUUACUAUAUAUUUUUGAGAUUUUUUAUUGGGUGCCCUGGCAAUUAAAAUGAAAUUGUAACUUAGAAUAAUCUAGUUUGGAUUAAUAGCAAUUUAAACAGUCUGCUAAACUUUUGCUUCUUUAUAUUCCAUUCCCUCCCUUUUCUUUAUACUUUUAUUGUCAUACAAAUUACAUCUUUACACACCGUAAGCCCAACAAGGUAGUUUUAUAAUUGUUGCUUUGUACAGUUGUCCUUAAAUCCAAAAGAAGAAAAAAAACUACAAAUGAAGACACAUUUGUACUGUCUUUGUAAAACCCAUGUAUUGACCUCCUCUGGUGUUCUUCAUUGUUCAUUUGGAUUUUAGUUACCGUCCCAUCAUUUCAGCCUGGAGGACUCUGUUUAGUAUUUCUUGUAGGUCAGGUCUGAUAGUGACGAAGCCUCUCAUUUUUUCGUCUCCUUCAUUUUUGAAGGACUAGAUUUCCUAGAUGUAGGAUCUUAGUUGACAGUGUUUUUCUUUUAGUACUUUGACUAUGUCAUCCACUGCCUGCUGGCAACCAUGGUUUUGAAUGAGAAGUUAGUUGUUAACCUCAUUGAGAUCCCUUGUGCAGGACGGGUUUGCUUUCCUCUUGCUGCUUUCAUCAGUGUCUCCUUUUCUUUGGCUUUUUAGCAAUUUGAUUAUGGUGUAUUUGGUGUAGAUCUCUUUAAAAUGAUCUACUUGGAGUUCAUUGAGCUUCCUUGGUGAGCAGAUCGUUUUUCAUCACUUAGGAAGUUUUGGGCCAUUGUUUCUUCAAAUAUUCUUUUUUCUCCUUUCUUUUCUUUCUUUCUUGGACUCCCCUUAUGUGUAGGCUGGAUGGUGUCCCACAGGUUUCUGAGGCUCUGUUUAUUAUUCUUUAUUCUUUUUCUUUUUGUUCUUCAGACUGGAUAAUCUCAAUUAGUCUAUUGGUGGUUUUGUCUGCCUGUUCAGAUCUUCUGUUGAGCCCCUCUAGUGAAGUUUUCAUUACAGUUUUUAUACUUUUCGACUCCAGAAUUUUCAUUUAAAAAUAAUUUAUAUCUCUUUAUUGACAUAUUCUAUUUUGUGAGAUGUCAUUCUCUUACUUUAGUUCUUUCAACAUGGUUUCCUACAUGAUUGAUGACUUUAAGUCUUCGUCUAGUAAAUCUAACAUGUGCCCUUUCUCGUGCACAGUUUCUUUUGUGUGCUUUUUCUCUUGUGAAAAGAUAUUCUUCCUGGGUUUUUUUUUUUUUUUCAUGUCUUGUGAUUUUUUGCUGAAAGCUGUACAUUCUAGAUAAAUAAUGUGCCCACCCUAGAAAUAAGAUUCUCUCCUUCCCAAGGUUUUUUGCUGUUGUUCUUGCUGUUUUCUGUUUAUUUGUUCAGUGACUUUCCUAGACAAAUUUUAUAAAGUCUGUAUUCUUUGUCAUAUAUAGCCACUGAAGUCUCUGCUACUUAGCUUAGUGUUCAGCGAAUGAUUGCACUAAGAUUUCCUUAUGUGUCUUGAACCAAUGAGUCUCUCAUCCUUUCUCUGGUGCUUCUGUGUGUGUGUUGGGGCAUGCUUGCCAAGUUCCCACAGGUAGCUUACAGCUCUGCAUUAGCCUACACUUCUUGCUUGUGCAGACCCUCAGCGUCAGCCAGAAUUGAGAGCUUAGGGUCUUCUCAGUUGUUUCUUAGGCAUAGACACAGCUCUAGGUAUGCACACAGCCCUGUGUGUGUGCUUGUGGUCUUCUAGAUUCCCAGGAAUAUAUAGAAACUUUUGAAAGCACCCUAUGGAUAUCACGUGUCCAGUGUUUCCUUUUAAGUUUUUUUUUCAUAGCCUUUUGUUAGCCUCAACUUGUAACACUUCCUUAAGCAACUGCAGUGUUAAACAAUUAAUGCUGAUUGUUUUGACAAAUACCCUGUCAGUAGGGCUGUUCUCACAGAGGGAGUUCUAAGUCACAUCAAAGAAAGAGUUGCCCUGAAAAUGGAACUUUUCAGCAGGCUGUCAGACAGGUCAAAUAUUGACAGUUCUUUGGGAAUGGCCCUUUUGGGAGCUCUGCACUCAUUCUGCCCCCUCUAGCGGCUGCUAGGCUGCUAGCUCUCAGGCAUAUUCUCUUUGAUCUUCAAGGUUACUGAGAGGGAAAGCAUCACCUCUGCAAAGCUUGGCAGUGUCUCUUGAUUGAUGAAUGUUACUAGACUGAAAUUAGGACUUCUGUCUAUCAAAGACACCACUAGGAAAAUGAAAAUGGAAGCCAAAGAGUGGAAGAUGGUAUUUGUAAUACAUAUGACUGACAAAGAAUUGUCACAAAUCUGUAAGAGCAGGUUAGACACAGCUGAAUUUUUUUAAAAAAUUGUGAACAGAAGGAAUUAUUUGGAACACCAUCUAAAAAGACAGAGAUGCAAAAUAUAAAACUAUACCGAAAAUAAGGAAGUAAGAGUAAUAAGUCCUAACAUAUACAAAGAGACAAUUUUCAAAGACAUGUAACUAGGAUAUUUUAGAAAUAUUGCUAAGAUUUAAAUUCUAAAAUAUCAGAAUCCAAAUGAACUUCAAGUAGGGGAAAAAGUCCACAACUAGAAACAACAUAGAGAAACUAUAGGACAUGAAAGACAAAAGACCUUAAAAGCAUCCAAGAAAAACCAGAUUACCUAUGAAGAAAUGGCAAUGAGAGUAAAAUUUUAUUUUUCAGUGACCAUGAUAUCAGAGCCAGUGAAUUAUUUUCAAUGUGCUCAGAGACACUGAAGAGUUACCCACAGUUCUCUACCCACUGACACCAUCUUUAAGAGCAAAGGUUAAAUAAAAACGUUUUCUGACUUAAUAACUAAGAAUGUUUUUCUCUAAAAGACACUCAUUAAAGGAAAUACUGAAAAUAUGUGGAAAAAAUACCUCAGGUGGAAUGUCUGAGGGACAAGAAGAAAUGGUGAGCAAAGAUAUUGCUAAAUAUAGAUACAGAUGGUAUAAAGUAAAUAAAGUAGCGUCUAACUUAGGGGUAGGGAUGAUAGAGUAGAACUAAAAUAGUGAACAACUGGAUGUGUGGUCAGAUUUGAAUGGUGCUUCGUGAUUAAGAGAUGCUAAAUCCAGAUUUCUUUGGUUUGAAUUCUGACUUUGGUACUAAUUAUCUGGUGGUACCUAUUACCUUGCUUUAGGCAAGUUAAUUAACACCUCUGUACGUCUAUUUACUUCUCUUAAUAUGAGGAUAGUAAUAGUAUCACUCAUAGGGUUACUGGGAUGCUUAAAUUAGUUAAUAUAUGUGAACCACUUAGAACAGUGCUUGAUACAUGGCAAGUGCUUCCUAAGUGUGAGCUAUGAUUAUCAAUAAAGCAUUCUCAGGUCCUUGUGUUGCCAGGUGAAAUACAGAAUCAUGGUGAGAGACUUUAUCAAACUUCUUUUGACAGCAGUGAUUGAGAAAAUAAAAAUACUAUUAGCAAGUUCGUUUUCAUUGACUCAUAAACUUUGUACCACACUAACUUAAACUACAUAGACUUUUCAAAAAUCUAUUUAUUGAUCUACACGAUAAUUCCAAGAAGUAAAAACCUGACAGGUUGUGGCAGACACUGCUAGCGGCCUUCGUGAUGUUCAGCCUGCCUUUCUUACACACAGAACACUGGUUUCCUGUAGAGUGUGAAUGUGUCCAGCUAAGACACUGACUCUCCCAGAUGUCUUUACAAUUAUAUGGCCAUAGCCCCUAGUUCAGAUCGUUGAGAUUUAAGUGAAAGUCAUUGGGUUGGAUUUCUGGAAAGGCCAUGUCAUGCUUUAUGCCUUUAAAGCUAAUGUGCCGUGAACCAAUAUGUUUCUAUCCUUUCACUCUGUGUGUGUGCUCCUCAUGCCUUCAAAGCUCCCGUAAGAAGUUGACAACUCUGCCUUAGCUCUCACUUCUUAUUUGUACAUAGCCUGAAGGUCAGCCAGAGGUGAAAACUUACAGCCUUCUCAGGUUUUCCUGGGCAUGUGCACAACCCUUGGCAUGAACACAGCCCUGCACAUGCAUGUGGCCUUUUAGAUUCCCAGGAACGUACAGGAGAUUUCAAAUGUCCCUUGUGAACUUUUUUCCAAAUAAUCUAUUUACUCAGAGAGAAUUCGCUAAAAAUUUCUGGGAAUUUAAAAGUGGACUUUGACAGAUUGUUUCCUAAAAUCGGCCAAGAAGAACAAUAAAGUGGAAUCUUCUAUGUCAUCAAAAUGACAGUAAUGAUAAUAGGGUGGCAUUAUUCAGAAAUAUAUAGCAUGAUGGGAAAAGAAGUCCAUAAAUAGACACAACACACACGCACACACUUUGCGUAUGAUAUAGGCUGCACUUUAAAUUAGUAGGGAAAGGAUGAAUUAUUCCAUAAAUAGGUUGGAAUGAUUGGCAGUUCAUUUAGGAGAAUAAUAGAUCUUUAUGUCAUUCCUUACACAGGAAUAAAUUCCAAAUGGUUUAAAGAUAUAGAUAGAUAAAUGUGUUAAUAAUCUUAACGUGAGGAAGGUUUUUUUUAGGACGAAGGAAAACGAGAAAAAACAAAGGCAAAUCUUGACAAAUUUGACUAUCGACGAGUUAAAUACGUCCUCAUAGUGAAAGUCCCCACAAAUAAAAGUAAAGGCAAACAACAGGCUGAUUGACAGUUCUUAUCAAAUAUGUAACAGAAAAAGAAAAAACUGAAUAAUGGGAUCCUGUUUUUAACCAAUUAAAUUGGCCAAAGAGAAGAAGCUUUUAGGAGGUUGAUCGUAUGCCAUGUUAAUGUGGAGGUGAAGAUACAGUCAUACUCACCUUCACUGUUAGUAAGAGUACAAAGUGGUAGAGCUGUUUUGAGAGAGGCAAUUUGACAGGUUCUAACAAAAUUUUAAAUGUGUGUCACUCAAAUACAAUAUUCUCACCUCUGGGAAUCUGUACUGCAGAAUAUUCACACGCUCCCAAAGGGGUGUUUGCGUGAGGCUGUUCACUGCCCUGCUGUCUGUGGCAGGACCAGGAACCUGAAUGCCCUUCACUCCUCUGUGUGGGGGGGUGUGUGUGUGUGUGUGUAUAUGUGUGUGGGGUGUGUGAGUGUAUGGGUGUGGGUAUGUGUAUAUGUGU